GAUGAACGCUGGCGGCGUGCCUAAUACAUGCAAGUCGAGCGAACAGAUGAGGAGCUUGCUCCUCUGACGUUAGCGGCGGACGGGUGAGUAACACGUGGAUAACCUACCUAUAAGACUGGGAUAACUUCGGGAAACCGGAGCUAAUACCGGAUAAUAUAUUGAACCGCAUGGUUCAAUAGUGAAAGACGGUUUUGCUGUCACUUAUAGAUGGAUCCGCGCCGCAUUAGCUAGUUGGUAAGGUAACGGCUUACCAAGGCAACGAUGCGUAGCCGACCUGAGAGGGUGAUCGGCCACACUGGAACUGAGACACGGUCCAGACUCCUACGGGAGGCAGCAGUAGGGAAUCUUCCGCAAUGGGCGAAAGCCUGACGGAGCAACGCCGCGUGAGUGAUGAAGGUCUUAGGAUCGUAAAACUCUGUUAUUAGGGAAGAACAAAUGUGUAAGUAACUAUGCACGUCUUGACGGUACCUAAUCAGAAAGCCACGGCUAAAUACGUG
rnacentral:rRNA from 1 species